rnacentral:lncRNA from 1 species
UGAAACCACCUAUAGGAUAACCGGUUAUGUGUGUACAGCUCUUAUCAUGUUUGGCAGGUAAUAUUCUUCCUCCUGAAUGGAAUCAAUUAGGGGCACAAGGGUUUGAAUUCUCACUGUUUGAAAACAAGAUGAAAUUAUAUUUUGAUUUUUAGUCAGAGAACUAGUAUUUAUUGAAUAUUUACAUAUCGUGUCAAUUAAUUGGUGAUUUAUCUGUCAAUAAUCAAUGUGAUUUCUUAAAUCAUUUACUGCUAUUUUACAAUGUAUGGUACUGCUAUUUUACAAUGUAGGGCAAGUGUUCAUGAUGCAUGAUGCAUGCCUUCCUAUGUUUGGUGGUCAUUCCUUGAUUUAUGGUAUGUUCAAUAUGCACUGCAAAUUACCAUGUGUUUCUUUCCACCCAGAAGUACCUUUUGAUUACAAAAAUUUCAAUGCCCAGAUGUCAUGGAUCAUAAAAGACUAUGAUCCAAGCCUCCAAGUGUAGAACAUGAACCAGUAACAAAACCUAGUUUGGGAAUAGCUCUAGACGUAUAAAAGAAUUGGCUAAGAAGUCUACCUAAGGACAAGCUUGUGCAUCAUUGAUUUUUUUCCUCUAAGAAGCAGGCUAACUUUCUUAAUCAACAAAACAUGUGGUUCAUCUUACUGCCGAAAAUUGUCAAGAUUAUUAUGGAGAUGAAGUACUUGGAGCAUUUUGUGGCUUGAUACAGAUCUUCAGCUUUUCAGGUGAAGGUUAAAUUGGCAAUUUGGUGGAUUAUGUCUAUGGACUUUGAUAAUUAACAUGACUGGAUAUUCAUAAUUAAAUGAGAACAUGUGGUUUAGUCUUACUUGCUACAUGUCAUCCAAGGUAAAUAAGCACGCAUAAUGUGAUCCAUUUUAAUGGAAUCUAGCUAACAAUUUUAAUCUUAUUCAUGCCAACCCAAAUUAAUGUUGAUUUAAUAUCAACCCUUAUUUAUUCUCAACUUGAAUUUCUAUCAACUCAAUGAACUAGAAAUCAUAAAGGGUUCCCAUAUAUUCUAUUAGAACAUCUUUUUGUAAACUUGCUGUCUUAAACAUUUAUACAAUUUGAAGAGGCUUUAGUUUUAUGCAUCAGCUAAUUGCUUUUAUCCAUGUGCACGUUGAAAGUUUAGGAAACAUUUCUGGUGGUUAACUUUUAUGCCAUGAAGGGGAAGUAAUAUAUCUCAAUUAGGAGUCAAUGUCUGAUCACAAUUUAACAUGCCGUACAUUCUAUACCCAUUCUGACUUGAGUUUGAUUUGAGUUUGUGAUGAUUAGCCUUAACCGAUCAUGCCAUAUACCAUACUUGGGUUUCUUUUAGAUCAAGUUAAGCACUUAGGCUGAACUUCCCAUUAACAUGCUUGAAAGAUCCUAUUCUAAGUCAAAUCCCCUCUCACCCUAUUAUAUGUCAGAUCUCUUCACAAGAUUUGAUUAGUAUUCGUAAUUUUGACUAUAUUGUCUUAUCACCAAUUAUCUCUCUAUUUUGUUAGUUGUUUUACUUUAAUUUCUUUGCAACAAAGUUCUUGAAGCUCUUUAAAGUGUAGACAUGAAAAUACGGGAACCAAAGCUACUAAUAAGCUUGAGGCAGCUGAUGGCCUGUCAAGCUGAUCCAAAAUUGCAUUUAACAGAAUGGAUUUAAGCCUGAGUAAGGCCCCAAAUACUAGAUUAACUUAUCCUCAUCCAAGAUGUUACAAUAACCACAACACCUUGUGCAUCCAAGACAAUAACUUCCCAUGCAAGUUGAGCUCGACAACAUCCAUAAAACACAUCAAAUUUGUUGGAUCUUUAAAUGUCUUAUAGGUCUACACACUACAAACUUAAAGCAAGGUCAAAGGCAAAGGACUUAUAUAUAACUUAUAUUAAGCUAUAACUAUAGCCAAAUUUAUGCAUGCAAAUGAAUGUGUUCUUGUUGUUGCUCGAAUAAAUGCCUCUUAAUUACUUAAACUACUUCAUACGUUCUUGGUAAUUUCUUAUAGAUAUAUCAUUUUUUUGAUUCCAAGUAGAUUUCUUACAAAUAAAGUAGAAAGAUGAUUCAAUUAAAUUUUGAUGGUUUUACUUGCAACUUCUCAAACAGAUAGACCAAUAUAAUUACAUCAUGG